AGCUGUUCAAUUCAUCUCCAUCUCCAUGCCAGAUGAUGACUUCAAAGGGACGGAGUCAAAUCCAUCUGACGUUCUCUGAAAAGACACCCAGUCACACAAACAUUUAUUAUGAUUUAAUACAGAGAUACCCAUAUACUGUAUGUUCCUCUCAGAACUGCAUUGUUUUGUUGUGAAAAUUUGUUUGCCUUAAUCUUUCUAUAUUAACAUUUUAACACAAUUUUAAAGUCACAUAGUAGAAAUCAUAGGUUCAUCCAUCCGUCCAUCCAUUUUCUGCCACUUAUCCAGGAUAGGGUAGCAGGGAUGCCCAGACCUCCAUCUCACCAGCCACCUACUCCAGCUCCUCGGGGGGAUACCAAGGCGUUCCCAGGCCAGCCCAGAGCUCAGCUCCCUCUUCGCCAUGAGAGGACGGGACCGAUCUGUCUGUCGAUCUCCCGCUCCCUUCAUCCCUCACUCGUAAACAAGACCCUGAGGUACUUAAACUCCUCCAUUUGGGGCAGUAACUCAUCCCCCACCCAGAGCGGGUAAUCCACUCUUUUCCAGUUGAGAACCAUGGCCUCAGACUUGGAGGUGCAGAUCCACUUGGAGGUGCUGAUUCUGGCCUCCUCACACUCAGCCGCAAAUCGCCCAGUACAUGCUGCAGGUCAUCAAAUGAUGAUGCCAAGAGGCAUGUCAGCCAAGACAGCCCAAAAACAUCAAGGGCCGUCAGGGACUCAGGACGAAUCUCAUCCACCCCCCCAAGUCCUACCACUGAAAUUUGUUUUGACUACUUCAGUGACCUCAACAGGUCCCCCUUCAAGCUGUACUUCCUCCAAGGAAGGCAUAUCAGUGGGAUUCAGGAGAUCCUCAAAGUUUUCUUUCCACCACCCGACUAUAUCCCCAGUUGAGGUCAACAGUUCUUCAUCCCUGCUGUAAACAGCCACUUUCCGCUUGAUCUACCUGAACCUGAAAACUGCUUUAGGAGUCCCACAAGCCAACCAAGCUCAGACUCAAUGUCCCCUGACUCCCUUGGGAGAGAAGGGAAGUUCUGCCAGAGGUGUGAGUUGAAGAUCUCUCAAGACAGGGGCCUUUGGCCAGAACCUCCCAGCACACCCUCACUAUAUGUUUGGUCUAUUAGGUCUAUCCAGCAUCUUCCCCCGCUAUUGGAUCCAACUCACCAUCAACUGGUGAUCAGUUGACAGCUCAGCUCCACCUGUCACCCGAGUAUCCAAAAUAGGCAGACGCAGAUCCGAUGAUACAAUUACAAAAUCGAUCAUUGAACUGUGGCCUAGGGUACUCUGGUGCCAAGUGCACUUAUGAACACCCUUAUGUUUGACCAUGGUAUUCGUUAAGGACAAACUGUGGUUAGCAUGGAAAUCAAAUAACUAAUCACCACUCGGAUUCUGAUCGGGCAGGUGAUUCCUCCCAAUCACACCCUUCUAGGUUUCACUGUUAUUACCCAUGUAAGCAUUAAAGUCCUCCACAGAGCAAUGGAUUCCCCAGAAGGAGCGCCAUUCAAGCACCCCCUUCAAGGUCUUCAAGAAGGCCGGAUACUCUGGACUGGUGUUUGGCGCAUACGUGCACACAACAAUCAGAACCCUUCCCCUGACUCGAAGUCGAAGGGAGCCAACCCUCUUGUCCAUCGGACUAAUACUCCAACACACUGGCACCGAACCAGGGGGCUAUAAGCAGACCCUCCCCCGCUCGGUGCCUCUCCCCAUGGGCAACACCAGAGUGGAACAGAGUCCAGCCCCUCUCUAGGAUUUUGGUUCCAGAACCCAAGCUGUGCGUUGAGAUGCGAACCCGGGGCAAACCCAGGAACACCUUGGUAUCCCCCUGGAAGAGAUAUAUUUUUGGAGGCAAUUGCCCCUGGAAGGGUCUCCCAUGACAUGUGAAACAAACAGAAACACUGUAUUUGUUAAGGCCAG